UACGGGGGGGGCAAGCGUUGUUCGGAAUUACUGGGCGUAAAGGGCUCGUAGGCGGCCAACUAAGUCAGACGUGAAAUCCCUCGGCUUAACCGGGGAACUGCGUCUGAUACUGGAUGGCUUGAAUUCGGGAGAGGGAUGCAGAAUUCCAGGUGUAGCGGUGAAAUGCGUAGAUAUCGGAAGGAACAUCAGUGGCGAAGGCGGCCGACUGGACGAUAACUGACGCUGAGACGCGAAAGCGUGGGUAGCAAACAGG
rnacentral:rRNA from 1 species